rnacentral:rRNA from 1 species
CAGUAGCCGCGGUAAUACGUAGGGUGCGAGCGUUAAUCGGAAUGACUGGGCGUAAAGGGCGCGUAGGCGGAUUGUUUAGUUAGGCGUGAAAUUCCUGGGCUUAACCUGGGGACUGCGCUUAAUACAGGCAGUCUAGAGUGAGGAAGAGGGUUGUGGAAUUCCCAGUGUAGAGGUGAAAUUCGUAGAUAUUGGGAAGAACACCGGUGGCGAAGGCGGCAACCUGGUCCUUGACUGACGCUGAGGCGCGAAAGCGUGGGGAGCAAACAGGAUUAGAUACCCCCGUAGUCCCUGUCUCUUAUAC